rnacentral:rRNA from 1 species
GACGAACGCUGGCGGCGCGCCUAACACAUGCAAGUCGAACGGAGCUGCGAGAAGCUUGCUUUUCUUAGCUUAGUGGCGAACGGGUGAGUAACGCGUGAGUAACCUGCCCUGGAGUGGGGGACAACAGUUGGAAACGACUGCUAGUACCGCAUAAGCCCACGAUCCGGCAUCGGAUUGAGGGAAAAGGAUUUAUUCGCUUCAGGAUGGACUCGCGUCCAAUUAGCUAGUUGGUGAGGUAACGGCCCACCAAGGCGACGAUUGGUAGCCGGACUGAGAGGUUGAACGGCCACAUUGGGACUGAGACACGGCCCAGACUCCUACGGGAGGCAGCAGUGGGGGAUAUUGCACAAUGGGGGAAACCCUGAUGCAGCGACGCCGCGUGGAGGAAGAAGGUUUUCGGAUUGUAAACUCCUGUCGUGAGGGACGAUAAUGACGGUACCUAACAAGAAAGCACCGGCUAACUACGUG